rnacentral:lncRNA from 15 species
GCUACUUGUUACCUGAUGGAAAUGAUGGCAUUUAGUGAAUAACAGCAGCACAGCAGUGACAAACACACUAUUUGUCAGAGUUGUGAGAGGAAGGAGGGAGGGAUUAAGGGAGGAGCAAAACUGAGACUCAAGUACAGAAAAGACAGAAACUUUCACAGUGGUGUUUCAUCCAAAAAACAGACAGAUUGUCUUUAUCUUUAAGAUGCUGUCAGUGAACUUCAGUCUGUUUGUGACUUUGUUUCUGCUCACAAUAAGAGGUGUCAGCUGUGAAGAACUCACUGCAGUCAAGAAACAAGAGUCCAGUUUAGAAGACAGCACUGUUACUCUGUCCUACAAAUACUCCAAACAAGCAAAUGGCAGUGAUUAUUUUUACUGGUAUCGACAAUAUGCAGGAAAACCUCAUCUUCCUCAUCUCUCACUUGGGAACACAAAAUGCAACAACCUCUAGACUGUCAGUUACAGUGAGUGAGGAUAAAACCCAAAUGGAUCUGCAGAUCUCCUCUGCUGCAGUGACAGACUCUGCUCUGUACUACUGUGCUGUGAGGCCCACAGUGACAGCAAACCCACAGUCUCUGUACAAAAACACAAGCUGACACACUGACAAGCUGCUGGAAGCCUUUUUUCCACACUGUUGGACUCAACUUUUUAGCUCCACUAGAGGGCGACAUUAUCAAGUAGGCGGUGCACUACUUCUGCACUGUGUUCAACCAUUCUGUCAAUAAUAACUGCUGCUGUGAAGAGAACAAUUGUCACACUGAAUGUUGAACAUCAGCUAGUUUCUCCUGUUGAUUUAAACCUUGUUGUAGAGAUGGAACAUUGGCUGUGGAUUAUUCUUGCUGCUCUUUUCUUUGGUAAGAUAGAAAGCACAACAUGUUUUUAUUCUUUUCUAAAGAUUGAUGGAAACUGGAGUUCAGAGCAGAAAUCUCUCAACAGUUGAGCUGUUUCUGUCCACAGAGUAACACUGUACACUUGAUAUUUUCCACUGUCUUCUCCUCUCAGCCUCAUGAACAAUGUUAGUCUAAUGGCUUCAUUUUCUCCACUUUUUCCAGGACUAAUAGCUGGAGACACAAUCUCUCCUGUAGGAGAUAAAGUCAGUGGAAGAGAAGGAGAAUCUGUCACACUCAAAUGUCAAUAUCAGACAACUUCAGAUUAUUUGUCCUUCACUGGUACAGACAUUCUGACCUUCAGGCUCCUCAGUUUAUACUCUAUAAAGGAGCAAAGGCUAUGAAUAUAUUCCAGAUAAACGAUAUGAAUCUAAAACAACAGAUUCAUCAACUGAACUGACCAUCAGAAAACUAACCCUAGCAGACACAGCUCUCUACUACUGUGCUCUAGAAACACAGUGAUACAAAGUGUAGAGAGGCUGUACAAAAACCUGAACACAGAUAUCUGACUACUCUUCAAAGAGGAGGGAAGUGGUAUUCAAACCACAGCUUCAUAUCAGAUGGAUUCUGCUAAUUCCUGUUUUAUCAGAGUCACUGUGGUUACAGCUGCUAAUGAAACACUGUGGGAGGAUUCACAUGAGCAGCAAAUCCACAUCAAUGACAAACCAACUGGAUGAUGCUUCAAACACAAGACACCAUGGAAACAAAUAAAUCAACACUGAAAAUUAAAAUGAGUAAUAUGUGACAUCUGAACAACAACGUGUCUAACAUUAAAACUUUUAGUUAAAUAAAUAGAUUUGUGACCUGAAUUAUGUAUCUAAAGUGCAUUUAUCACACAUUGUUUUAUUCCUAUAAAAUUUCUAUUUGUUCCCAACAUUUACCAGGUCAGACUGGGUCCAGUAUUUUAUAGCUCAAAUAUUCAGUCAUAUACUGAGCAUACUGAUCUGUUACCAGCUGGACUGGGUACAGUCUGUAUUUUCCUGGGCAGAAGUCCACCUUUACAGUUUCUGGUCUUUAACAUUUUUAUUCAGUUUUGAGUGAACUGCAGUAAAUGAUGGACUGUUAAUUGGCAAUCAUAUAAGACAGGGCUGUGAAUGAGGCCUGUCAGUAUGAUCAUUUCAAUUUCAAUUCAGUUUUAUAUUAAGUUAGUAAGUGUGUAAUUAUAUUUGCUGUUAUAUUUAACUCCACUACUGAUAAAUCAUACAGUUUGAAUCAAGGAUCUCCAUAAACUGGUUGACAACCCAGACUCAGGUUUUGAUUGCUCCUGUCUUUAUAUUUACUAAAGAAGUUUCUGUUAUUGUGGUGUACCACAGGGUUUGAUCCUGGGUCCUGUUCAUUUCUAUUUUGGUAAAUGCAUUUUAAACACAAUAUAGAUUUCCAUUGUUUUGCUGACAAUGAUGUAUUCCAUAAGUUUACAUGAUUAUUAUUCUAUUAAAAUUGUUUAUCAUUGAUUACACCUUUUGUAGUUUCUCUACAAUGAGUUUGCACAUCAC